rnacentral:lncRNA from 1 species
UUCAGUGCUUUGUCCACUAUAUUACCUCAAGUAGAAAAAAUUUACUCCAGUUUGGUUUACUAUUGAGGCAAUUCUAGGGCAUUUUGACUGUUAGUCAAAGUUGUAAGAAGGGAGAAAUGUACUGAUAAAUACUGAUCUAAAUACUAAUUUAUGCUCCUGCAGGACAAAAGAGAACUUCACAGAUAAAGCAAUAUUGGAUAUCUCCUUAUGCAAACCUAUCAAAAAUACAAUUGCUAUCAGUUGGAUUCAGCUGUGUUUCCUGUGAAGUUACUUGUUCCAGUCUGGGAAGAGUGCAACAUCAAAAUAAUAAUCUUUGACUAUUUCCAACACUCUUCAAAGAAGAUUGAAAGCACUGAAGGGAAUGUUUUCAGGGAGACAAUCCACUCUGUUGUUUCAUCUAUUUUAUUUUUUCAUUUUGUGAUGAUGUUCAUGUGGACAUAAACUGAGAAUAAACUCAGCUAACAUUUCUAUAAAUUAUUUUUUGUGUGUAUGCCUGUGUUUACCACACAGUUACUAGGCAUGUGAGAUCCAGGGGAAAAAAUGGUUCUAAACUCUCUUCAAAAGUAGGAGAAGCUGGCGCUUUGUUUCUAAAGUCAUUUCUGGAUUUUGAAGCAAAAAAUUCAAAACUUUCCAAAACUUCGGAAUAUUUGUAAUUAAUUCAUUAAGGGUGGACACGCAUGUAUAAUAGAGAAAAACAGAACUGGGGGGGGGGAUUUAGGGGACUCUCACACACUAAUUUUUUGAGCUAUCCUGAUUAAACUUGCCACAGUGGUAGAACACAUUUACUACUGUUAGCUCACCAAAUUUCAGAACAUUUCCCUUAUCCUCUGAUUUUUAGAAAAUUUUCAUAGUUUAUAUAAAAAAAAAUUCUUUAAUUAUUGCAGAAAUCUGUUCCUGGUUUGAAAGUCUUAUUUCCUGUUUCAAUGGGUUAUCUUUACUUUGAAAGUCAUUGUUCUACUUCAGAAACUUUGUUUUUGUGGCUGAAACUCUGUUAAAUUAGUGGACACUCAGCAAACCAUAAUGUGCUAUCAUAUAAUGAUGUCCCUUUGUGCAGACAAAUUGCAAUAAAGUUUUGCCAUGUUUUUGUGGCAGAGCCAAUGAGGAAGUGACAGUUAUCAACCAGGAACAUAAAUCAUAGCACACCAUCAAACCACUCCUGACAGAUGCCCAUUGGCCUCAGAAUAAGGAAAUCUGUUCCUGGUUUGAAAGUGUUAUUUCUUGUUUCACAGGCUUUUUGGGGCCGAGAGUUUGUGACUUGAACCCAGAGGGCUUGAACCCAAAGAAGGAUUGAGCUAUGUGUAACGUGGCUGAGGUCCCAAGACUUGGGGAACCCAGCAGAGAGGGUUUCUGUGAGUGAUGGGACACACAGUGCCUUGAGGAGGCCAAACAAACAAUCAAACAAACCAAGAGAGGGCCUUGCUUGAACCCAAAGGAUUCAGCUAUGUAACAUAGUCGGGGGCCCAGUCUUAGGGAACCCGGCAGAGGGUUUCUGUGAAUGAUGGGACACGCAGAGCCUUGAGGAGGCCAAACAAACACAAAAACCAAGAGAGGGCCUUGCCUGAACACAAAGAAGGAUUCAGCUAUGUGUGUAACAUGGCAGGUGUCCCCUGACUUAAGGACUCCAACGGAUUUUGUUUCUGUAAAUGAUGGGACACACAGUGCCUAGAGGAGGCCAAACAAACAAACAUAAAAUAAGCCCUUUCCCCUACCCAAAAUACCACCAACACCUACUUUUUAAAAUAAAGAACACGCUUCUUCUAGCUGCUUGUUUUUAAAAUAAAAUGCAUCAGAUAUUUAAAAUAAGCACUUUCACCACACCACCAACCCCUUUUUUCUCA